UACGUAGGGUGCGAGCAUUGUCCGGAAUUACUGGGCGUAAAGAGCUCGUAGGUGGUUUGUCGCGUUGUCCGUGAAAACUCACAACUCAAUUGUGGGCGUGCGGGCGAUACGGGCAGACUGGAGUACUGCAGGGGAGACUGGAAUUCCUGGUGUAGCGGUGGAAUGCGCAGAUAUCAGGAGGAACACCGGUGGCGAAGGCGGGUCUCUGGGGCAGUAACUGACGCUGAGGAGCGAAAGCGUGGGGAGCGAACAGG
rnacentral:rRNA from 1 species